UGCAGCAGAACGUAGAUCAUCAGCUGCCAUUUCCGCCACGUCCGCUGAGAUGCUGCCAGACACAGGAUAUUAAAUCAGAAUAAUUGAGGCUAGGAACUCAAAAGCAAGUUUUUACAGUCAAUGGAGUCAUCGGGAUCUGAAUAUCAUUUGCAUUUGACUGUGGACGGAGAAAGGAUGAGGCUGUCACUGGCUCGGCCAGCAUUUAUUGCUGCGUUUACCCAGUGGGCAGUUAAGAGUCAACCACGUUGCUCUAGGUCUCGAGUCCCAUGCAGAC